UCCUAGAUCAGCUCUCCUACUCUACUUAGAGACACUGUGUGAAUAUGGACCCUGUACUGGUUUAAUAUAUCAGGUGGAGUUAUUCACCAGCUAUAGAGUGAGUUGUUGUUUAUGUUUCUAAGACUGCAGGGUGGGAGCUGCAACAAUGGCCUUGAGAACAGCAGGAAGUGUGUUGGUGGUCUUUCUCUGGUCUGUAGCAGUGUUACUGGGUCAGUAUGGCUGAAGUGUGAUGUACACCAUCUGUGCCUUGAAGGGGUCAACAGUGGAGCUGUCCUGCUCUUACACAUAUCCCAGAGGUUAUACAGUCACAACAACCUUCUGGUUUACCAAACUUUAUACCGUGACUCUGAGUGAUGACCCAGACUACAAAGGUCGUGUGACGUACCCUAGCGACAUGAAAAAUGGCCACACUCUGACAAUCAGAGACCUGAGAGAGAGUGACUCAGCUACGUACAAGUUCAGAUUUAUAACAGAUCAGACCGUAGGGAAAUAUACUGGUGAUCCUGGAGUCAUUCUGUCUGUCACAGUCACACUUUAUUUGGAUAAUCUGGAUAGAUGCUCUACAGAUGGUCAGGAUAUCAACAAACUACCUGUUGAUAAUGUGUCCAUCCUGACCCUAACUGUGACACACACACCACUGAAAAUGAGGACCAGACAGUCUGGCAUGUGAGGGACUCCAGGGGAGAAAACCACCACAGAACCUGGACUGAAGACAACCACCACAGAACCUGGACUGAUAGAACCACCACAGAACCUGGACUGAAGAGAACCACCACAGAACCUGGACUGAAGAAAACCACCACAGAACCUGGACUGAUAGAACCACCACAGAACCUGGACUGAUAGAACCACCACAGAACCUGGACUGAAGACAACCACCACAGAACCUGGACUGAAGACAACCACCACAGAACCUGGACUGAAGAGAACCACCACAGAACUUGGACUGAUGAGAACCAUCACAGAACCUGGACUGAAGAGAACCACCACAGAACCUGGACUAAAGAGAACCAUCACAGAACAUGGACUGAAGAGAACCACCACAGAACAUGGACUGAAGAGAAUCACCACAGAACCUGGACUAAAGAGAACCACCACAGAACCUGGACUGAAGACAACCACCACAGAACCUGGACUGAAGAGAACCACCACAGAACUUGGACUGAUGAGAACCAUCACAGAACCUGGACUGAAGAGAACCACCACAGAACCUGGACUAAAGAGAACCAUCACAGAACAUGGACUGAAGAGAACCACCACAGAACAUGGACUGAAGAGAAUCACCACAGAACCUGGACUAAAGAGAACCACCACAGAACCUGGACUAAAGAGAACCACCACAGAACAUGGAUGGAAGUGAACCACCACAGAACAUGGGCUAAAGAGAACCAUCACAGAACAUGAACUGAAGAGAACCACCACAGAACAUGGACUGAAGAGCUAUGGCUCCAAAGCAAAGCUAGUCGUUACACCUCUAUUCUCUUGCUAAUAUAUUGUUAUAAUAUCUUGAAGGUUCACCCAAAUUACAAAAUGACACAUUGGUUUCCUUACCCUUUUACCAGUCUAUGAACAUGGUGUGACAGCAGUCCAUGCUUUGGUUAAGUUUCCCCUGGCACUGUUUCAACUUGCUAACGUUUUAGCAUCCGUGGCACAAAUCCCAUUCAAGUAGAGAGGCAUUUCUCGCAAAAAAUGUUGAAAUCAUUCAAAAAUAAAAAAUGCAUUGUGAAGCUCAACAAAGUCACUUAAUAUGUGAAAUAUUAUUAUCGGUCCCAUGACUUGAAUGGGAUUUUUGUUACAAAUGCUAUAAUGUUAUGUAAAUGUCGGAGUGUUCGACAUUGCAGCCAACUUUAUAGGCGAGUCAAGAUCUACAAAUCAUCUUGCAUGAUAAAUAACUACUCAAUGUUAUUAAUAGACCAGUCAGUCACAAUUUACCCAUCAUACAUCACAGUUUUGAUGCUCUUGAACACUGUCUGUGUGACUGUGGAAUGAAGCCCUCUCUGCAUAAAUGUCUUAGUUACUGACAUAGAGUUGGAUAGAGGGUAUAUCUUGGCAUCUUUGUCAAGAUGUCUUCUGUGACAGAAUGAGCAGCGCCAUUGAGGGCUAUUUACAUUUUAAAGUUGUUAAUGCAUUCUUCUUCAACUUCCAUAAGUUUAAUAACAGUCGGUAUACCAAUUGAAAUGGUGUAUUCAAUGGCUUUGCCAUGCUAAAACAGGCUUUUUAGCAAGUGCGCCCUCUAUUCAACUCUAUUGUCCCUGACUGCUUCAAAGUUGUCAACCACACACUUCAAACCUCACACUCAGUGUCUAUUUACAUAGACUUCCAGUAAGUUAACUUACAACACAUCUCCCCUUCACUCUACUGCAGGGUGGGAGAUGCAACAAUGGCCUUGAGAACAGCAGGAAGUGUGUUGGUGGUCAUUCUCUGGUCUGUAGCAGGUGUUCUGGGACAAAAUACUGUGAGGAGUGUCUGUGCCUUAAAGGGGUCAUCAGUGGACAUGCGCUGUCCUGUUCCCAGUGUGACCCAAGUCACAGAGAUAGUCUGGUAUAACAAAUGGUUGAAUCAUGAGCCUUAUGAUCUGAGAUGGGACCCUAAGUAUGAAGGUCGUGUGGAGUACAGUGGAACUACAGAGAAAGACUGCAUCCUGAGAAUCACAGACCUGAGAGAGAGUGACAUAGCAACAUAUUACUUCAGAUAUAAAACAACCCAGUAUUCAGAAUGGAAAUAUUCAUAUGGAUUCACUCUCAGUCUCACAG
rnacentral:lncRNA from 1 species